rnacentral:rRNA from 1 species
AAUGGGGGAAACCCUGAUGCAGCGAUGCCGCGUGAGUGAAGAAGGCCCUUGGGUUGUAAAACUCUUUCGUCGGGGAAGAAAAUGACUGUACCCGAAUAAGAAGGUCCGGCUAACUUCGUGCCAGCAGCCGCGGUAAUACGAAGGGACCUAGCGUAGUUCGGAAUUACUGGGCUUAAAGAGCUCGUAGGUGGUUAAAAAAGUUGAUGGUGAAAUCCCAAGGCUUAACCUUGGAACUGCCAUCAAAACUUUUUAGCUAGAGUAUGAUAGAGGUAAGUGGAAUUUCUAGUGUAGAGGUGAAAUUCGUAGAUAUUAGAAAGAACACCAAAUGCGAAGGCAACUUACUGGAUCAUUACUGACACUGAGGAGCGAAAGCAUGGGUAGCGAAGAGGAUU